AAGAGGACGGGUGGGGGAGGGGGGGCCAUGCAAGAGCACCUCUGAGUAUCCUAUGGCACUCCCCUUCCGAAGGAUCCCCGAAUCCCAGCGUUCACCAGGGCGCACAACGGAACCGCUCGGUCGUAUCACUCUGUGCAAUCGACUUCUCCGUCUUUCCUUCUCCCUCACCUGUCUCACGGCUCUUUGUAUUCGUUGCUUGUACCUUUACCGCACCCACCAACUCACCGCAUCGCUCUCUCAUUUUACACACACUCACAUAUACAUAUAUAUGUACAUCUGCUGCAUCACGCUGUGCGUAUCGUGUGGAGGAGGAUGGGUUUGAAGGGCGCAUCUGAGCUGCACAUCGUCACACUCCUUUUCUCUCCUCUUCCCCGCAUCUGAGGUUCACGAACGGAAAGACAUCGAAAGCGGCAGAGAAACGCACUGCCUUGUCCGACCACCAUUUCCGCUCACUUCCCCAAAUGCACACGCAAGCCGGUCAGUGGCACCAAAACACUUGUGAACACGGUUCCUCCAUUCACAGACGGCUUGUCAGCUAUGUUGUUGCCCGUCUGCCUUGAGAGUGUGUGUGUGUCGUUGCGUGCUUGUGCAUCUUCGCGCUAGCACACACGUGAAGGAAUGCCUGCCUCCCUUCACCCAUCGUCCACGCAUUGAUCCUCGGCUUCUUUCCAUCCUGCUCGGUUGCUGCAUCUCUCUCUCUCUCUCUGCCCCCUCCCUCCCUCUUGCGUUCCCCUACACAAG
rnacentral:misc_RNA from 1 species